UACGUAGGGUGCAAGCGUUGUCCGGAAUUAUUGGGCGUAAAGAGCUCGUAGGCGGUUCGUCACGUCGGCUGUGAAAACCCGGGGCUCAACUCCGGGCCUGCAGUCGAUACGGGCGAACUAGAGUGUUGCAGGGGAGACUGGAAUUCCUGGUGUAGCGGUGAAAUGCGCAGAUAUCAGGAGGAACACCGGUGGCGAAGGCGGGUCUCUGGGCAACAACUGACGCUGAGGAGCGAAAGCGUGGGGAGCAAACAGG
rnacentral:rRNA from 1 species